rnacentral:lncRNA from 1 species
GGAUUUUCUGGUAAUUCGGGCGUUAUUGUCUUGGCUGCUACUAAUAGACCUGAUGUUCUUGAUUCUGCAUUGCUUAGACCUGGAAGGUUUGAUAGACAAGUUACUGUUGAUAGACCUGAUGUUGCCGGUAGAGUUAAAAUCCUUCAGGUGAAUGAGUCCGAAACUUUUAACUAUCUCACAGUCAGUUUAAUUUAUGAGGAAUUUUUUGAAGUAAAUAAUGAUCCUAGUGUGUCUUGUUUUGUUGUCAACAACAUGGUUUUAAAUUGCAUUUGUGCCACAAUUCUUAAAAUUACAUAGAAUCUAAAUGCAGCUGAUGCAAUCUCAAAUGUGGUUGCGGAUAUAUAAAAAAUGAAGACGUUGCAACUUGCAACCCAAAUUACAUUUG